ACACGAUCUGCUCCUGUUUAUAGGGGUAUAGGCCACUGGAUGAAUGGUGAGCGCAUUGAGUUGCGCGUUUUUAUUCUCGUUUCUUUCUACCCACUGUUAUCCGAUUGACAUGCGAUCCCGCCACACAGGCGGACGAAUCAAACGAUACGUA
rnacentral:misc_RNA from 1 species